GCUGCCCCCGCCUCCUCCGGCGCCCGCCCCGGCCGCGGCGCCCCGUGCUGGAGGUGGCUCUGCCGGGGACGGUUGUUCCCCGCGCCGGCCGCCGGGAUGUGCCCCGGGAGCGGCGGCAUCUUUCUUGCCCCUGUAAGGGUUUGGAGACCCCAAGGGCUGGCUAAGGUGUGGGAAUCGCUCCUGGCAGAGGUCCGGCCUCGCAGGGUAGUGAAGGCGGGUCCCCAGGCAGGUGCCUGUGGCGCCCCUGGACUUCCCGAGGGUGAUUAACCUUGAAGGGACGAAAGUUUACCAAGAACGGCUGCGAAAAGACACAAGAGGAGUUGGGCGAUGCCUUGUCAAAAUAUGCGUUUUGCAUCACAGUGUGAGAAACGACAGCGAAGGGCAGCUUUCAGCCCUGUCAGAACAGUAUCUGCUGUGUGUGUCCCAGCAGAAGAAAUGAGGAACAGAACUUUUCCUAGGGUUUACAGAUAGAGACAACUUUCCUUGAGGUUUUCAUUUGCACCCGUGAUUCAGACCAUUUUGAGGCACUGCAUUUUUGUCUCACCCAGUGUUGGAUAUUCUGCCAUUUUCUGAAAAGGGCCAUUAUUUGGACUUUGUGUUUCAGUAAUUGUUUAAGACAGUUUGAAUUUGAUACCGGUGCCUGUAAUAGCCUCAUAUAACAAGAUCACAUGCCAACCAGUUCAGGCCAAGUAGCAAGCCUUGGCCCCAAGCCCUGCGUAAGAGCACUGUGUCUCCAGGCUGCAGGGAUCCUUCCAUACCUAUCACUGCUUUCUUCUGAGCUACUUUUCACUUAGAGCGAAGGAAAAAACAGACAUUCAAACCAGAAACCAGAAUUUAUUAAAAGACUAGUCAACGUUGAUUUUAUUGUGAUGUGUAGGUAAUAUACUGCAGGGACAGAACCAUGUGAAAAAGAAAUCUACCAGAAGAUGAAAUCUACCAGAAGAAAUCUACCAUCAACUCAUUGCUAAGGUGUUCCAAGUUCCGGGAGUACAGCUGUAGACGCCGGAUCAGGGUAUCCAUGUAGCUUUCAUUGGUCUGGCCAUGGAAAUUACUGCAAAUAACAGAAUUACACAGGAGUCAAGAAGAAAGACUUAUAAAUGUACAUUGUUGAGAGCAGCUAAAAGGAGGCAAAAAAGCAGCAGCAGAAAACUUCUCCGGUGUUUGACUUCCCUGUAGUAAGAAUGGUCCCCUGCCAGUGAGGGGGUACACUAAAGAAACUAGGAGACAGCAUAGCUGGGACAGGUGAUCCAGACUAACCUAAGGGAUAUUCCACACCAAAGAACAUCAUGCCUGGCAUAUAAACUGGGGGAAGUUACCUGGAAGGGAGGAUUAUCUGUGUUCAGGAAGGGGAGUCUGCUAUCAGUCAGCAGGUAC